GAGUUUGAUCAUGGCUCAGAUUGAACGCUAGCGGGAUGCCUUACACAUGCAAGUCGAACGGCAGCACGGACUUCGGUCUGGUGGCGAGUGGCGAACGGGUGAGUAAUGUAUCGGAACGUGCCCAGUAGCGGGGGAUAACUACGCGAAAGCGUAGCUAAUACCGCAUACGCCCUACGGGGGAAAGCAGGGGAUCGUAAGACCUUGCACUAUUGGAGCGGCCGAUAUCGGAUUAGCUAGUUGGUGGGGUAACGGCUCACCAAGGCGACGAUCCGUAGCUGGUUUGAGAGGACGACCAGCCACACUGGGACUGAGACACGGCCCAGACUCCUACGGGAGGCAGCAGUGGGGAAUUUUGGACAAUGGGGGAAACCCUGAUCCAGCCAUCCCGCGUGUGCGAUGAAGGCCUUCGGGUUGUAAAGCACUUUUGGCAGGAAAGAAACGUCAUGGGUUAAUACCCCGUGAAACUGACGGUACCUGCAGAAUAAGCACCGGCUAACUACGUGCCAGCAGCCGCGGUAAUACGUAGGGUGCAAGCGUUAAUCGGAAUUACUGGGCGUAAAGCGUGCGCAGGCGGUUCGGAAAGAAAGAUGUGAAAUCCCAGAGCUUAACUUUGGAACUGCAUUUUUAACUACCGGGCUAGAGUGUGUCAGAGGGAGGUGGAAUUCCGCGUGUAGCAGUGAAAUGCGUAGAUAUGCGGAGGAACACCGAUGGCGAAGGCAGCCUCCUGGGAUAACACUGACGCUCAUGCACGAAAGCGUGGGGAGCAAACAGGAUUAGAUAC
rnacentral:rRNA from 1 species